GAUGAACGCUGGCGGUGUGCCUAAUACAUGCAAGUCGAGCGAACAGACGAGGAGCUUACUCCUCUGACGUUAGCGGCGGACGGGUGAGUAACACGUGGAUAACCUACCUAUAAGACUGGGAUAACUUCGGGAAACCGGAGCUAAUACCGGAUAACAUGUUGAACCGCAUGGUUCAACAGUGAAAGACGGUCUUGCUGUCACUUAUAGAUGGAUCCGCGUCGCAUUAGCUAGUUGGUAAGGUAACGGCUUACCAAGGCAGCGAUGCGUAGCCGACCUGAGAGGGUGAUCGGCCACACUGGAACUGAGACACGGUCCAGACUCCUACGGGAGGCAGCAGGAGGGAAUCUUCCGCAAUGGGCGAAAGCCUGACGGAGCAACGCCGCGUGAGUGAAGAAGGUCUUCGGAUCGUAAAACUCUGUUAUUAGGGAAGAACAAAUGUGUAAGUAACUAUGCACGUCUUGACGGUACCUAAUCAGAAAGCCACGGCUAACUACGUG
rnacentral:rRNA from 1 species